rnacentral:rRNA from 1 species
GACGAACGCUGGCGGCGUGCUUAACACAUGCAAGUCGAACGGAAAGGCCCUGCUCUUGUGGGGUGCUCGAGUGGCGAACGGGUGAGUAACACGUGAGUAACCUGCCCUUGACUUUGGGAUAACUUCAGGAAACUGGGGCUAAUACCGGAUAGGAGCUCCUGCUGCAUGGUGGGGGUUGGAAAGUUUCGGCGGUGGGGGAUGGACUCGCGGCUUAUCAGCUUGUUGGUGGGGUAGUGGCGUACCAAGGCUUUGACGGGUAGCCGGCCUGGGAGGGUGACCGGCGACAUUGGGCCUGAGAUACGGCCCAGAAGGCUACGGGAGGCAGCAGUGGGGAAUAUUGCACAAUGGGCGGAAGUCUGAUGCAGCAACGCCGCGUGCGGGAUGACGGCCUUCGGGUUGUAAACCGAUUUCGCAUGUGACGAAGCGUGAGUGACGGUAAUGGGUAAAGAAGCACCGGCUAACUACGUG